UUUUAAUUAUAUAGCAAUUUUAUUUAAAGCUUCGCUCAUCGAGUCUAUCAUUUCUUUAUAAACACCAAUGAAAAACAACUUCUGGGUUUGAAGAGGCUUAGGAAAUAACUUCUUUUCGUAAUGAUGUCCAAAGCUGAGGAGAAACCUUUCCUCCAGCCAAGUCUUUGGAACCUAUUCAGCUUCUGCUGCCUCUUCGCCUUCUCCACAUUCAAACCGCACAAAGUCCAUGACAGACACCCCGUGAGGCCGCACAUACUGUCCCAGCGUGAUGGAAGGAUCCAGCAAGUAUGGCUGGCACA